rnacentral:rRNA from 1 species
UAGCCGGUCUGAGAGGAUGUCCGGCCACACUGGAACUGAGACACGGUCCAGACACCUACGGGUGGCAGCAGUCGAGAAUCAUUCACAAUGGGGGAAACCCUGAUGGUGCGACGCCGCGUGGGGGAAUGAAGGUCUUCGGAUUGUAAACCCCUGUCAUGUGGGAGCAAAUUAAAAAGAUAGUACCACAAGAGGAAGAGACGGCUAACUCUGUGCCAGCAGCCGCGGUAAUACAGAGGUCUCAAGCGUUGUUCGGAAUCACUGGGCGUAAAGCGUGCGUAGGCUGUUUCGUAAGUCGUGUGUGAAAGGCGCGGGCUCAACCCGCGGACGGCACAUGAUACUGCGAGACUAGAGUAAUGGAGGGGGAACCGGAAUUCUCGGUGUAGCAGUGAAAUGCGUAGAUAUCGAGAGGAACACUCGUGGCGAAGGCGGGUUCCUGGACAUUAACUGACGCUGAGGCACGAAGGCCAGGGGAGCGAAAGGGAUUAGAUACCCCUGUAGUCCUGGCAGUAAACGGUGCACGCUUGGUGUGCGGGGAAUCGACCCCCUGCGUGCCGGAGCUAACGCGUUAAGCGUGCCGCCUGGGGAGUACGGUCGCAAGAUUAAAACUCAAAGGAAUUGACGGGGACCCGCACAAGCGGUGGAGUAUGUGGCUUAAUUCGAUGCAACGCGAAGAACCUUACCUGGGCUUGACAUGUAAUGAACAACAUGUGAAAGCAUGCGACUCUUCGGAGGCGUUACACAGGUGCUGCAUGGCCGUCGUCAGCUCGUGUCGUGAGAUGUUUGGUUAAGUCCAGCAACGAGCGCAACCCCUGUUGCCAGUUACCAGCACGUGAAGGUGGGGACUCUGGCGAGACUGCCCAGAUCAACUGGGAGGAAGGUGGGGACGACGUCAGGUCAGUAUGGCCCUUAUGCCCAGGGCUGCACACGUACUACAAUGCCCAGUACAGAGGGGGCCGAAGCCGCGAGGCGGAGGAAAUCCUGAAAACUGGGCCCAGUUCGGACUGUAGGCUGCAACCCGCCUACACGAAGCCGGAAUCGCUAGUAAUGGCGCAUCAGCCACGGCGCCGUGAAUACGUUCCCGGGUCUUGUACACACCGCCCGUCACACCAUGGAAGCCGGUCGCACCCGAAGUAUCUGAAGCCAACCGCAAGGAGGCAGGGUCCUAAGGUGAGACUGGUAACUGGGAUGAAGUCGUAACAAGGUAGCCGUAGGGGAACCUGCGGCUG